UACGGAAGGCAGCAGUGGGGAAUAUUGCACAAUGGGCGCAAGCCUGAUGCAGCCAUGCCGCGUGUAUGAAGAAGGCCUUCGGGUUGUAAAGUACUUUCAGUCGUGAAGGAAGGUGUUAAGGUUAAUAACCUUAGCAAUUGACGUUAGCGACAGAAGAAGCACCGGCUAACUCCGUGCCAGCAGCCGCGGUAAUACGGAGGGUGCGAGCGUUAAUCGGAAUUACUGGGCGUAAAGGGCACGCAGGCGGUUAAUUAAGUUGGAUGUGAAAUCCCCGGGCUUAACCUGGGAAUGGCAUUCAAGACUGGUUAGCUAGAGUCUUGUAGAGGGGGUUAGAAGUUCCAUGUGUAGCGGUGAAAUGCGUAGAGAUGUGGAGGAAUACCGGUGGCGAAGGCGGCCCCUGGACAAAGACUGACGCUCAUGUGCGAAAGCGUGGGGAGCAAACC
rnacentral:rRNA from 1 species